GAAGAGAGGUGGAGGAAGAGGAGGAGAGAUGGAGGAAGAGAGGUGGAGGAAGAGGAGGAGAGAUGAAGAAGAGGAGAGAUGGAGGAAGAGGUGGACUAUAGACCCAGUAAAGGUCUGGAUGGACGGAGAUGGAGGAAGAGGAGGACUAGAAAGGACUCAUAAUGACAGCGCCUCCACUUCCACCUCCAGUUCUCUGUGUUUACAGGGUAAGCUAUGAACACUACCUCCUGGGCCAUUAAGACCUGGACCCCUUGGCAGAGGCUCUAUCUGUUACAGAACAGGGUGGUUACUGUACAACAGUACUGUAUUACAGAACAGGGCACCAGGCUGAACUGUGGGACAAACAGAGGUUUCUGUUGCAGGUGUGAGGUAGCUAGCUAGUAAACAUUAUCCCACCGUGGAACAAAGUGAUGUCACUUGCCCUGACACCUGAGGCAGUGUCUGCCUCGCCCAACCAAGGCCAUGGGCUGUGUCCCAAAUGGCAACCUAUUCCCUAUAUACUGUACAAAGGGCUCUGGUCAAAAGUAGUGCACUACAUAGGGAAUAGGUUGCCAUUUGGAAUACAGUCGUUCAGUCUUCAUGACCUAUAGCCUUUGUACAUGGACCACUGCCACCAGGGGGAACCUUCUUUUAACAGCUCUUUUGUAGCACUACGGACUAUUAAGACUGUAACACACACUGUAACACACAGUCACCCACCGGCCAGCACAUGGAAAACAAUAAACAAUGCUCUUUCGGACUCCAUUGGACUAUUAAACAUGGAGAAGGGUGAAGUAGCCCCUAGAAACUGAUCUUGGGUCAGUUUAACAUUGCCCCCACUAAUGGUUAAGGUUAGGAUUGUGGGAGGGGGAAGCUGAUCCUAGAUCUGUACCUAGGGGAUUCUGGAGCAAAAACACACUGGAACACUUUGAAUACUUUAUUUGGAUCCACAGUCUGUGCAUCAAGAAAGAAAAUAACCCAAUAUAGAGUUCAAAGGUCACAUUGAUUCCUACCAUCAUAGAGAUGUUAAGAGAUCACAACAUUGUAUCUGUCCCAUUAUGGCGUCUGUGAGCGCACAGGCACCACCACUGUGGCCAUCUCCAUUUUGAAGUAGUUCAUUUUCUUAUUUUACUACUUCUAUGAGUUUGUAAACAAACUGGAAGGGUGCAUACUGCCACCUGGACUGUGUUAUUUAAACAGGUAUAAAGCCAAGGUUGGCAAUUCACUGCCACCUGCAGUUAUGGAAUGUUUGCUCACCAGUUUAAUUCAUUGGCUGAUGACCUCGAUGGAAUUAUGUGAUCCUUCCUUAACCCACAGGAAGUCCCACCCAGUUGACUACUUCAAAAUGGUGAAAGUCCUCAAUGUUACUGCCCAUGUUAAAACAGGCUUUUGGGCACACUAAAAUAGAUAGAUAGUCUUCUAUCUAUCUUGAUGGGACUUAUAGGCUAUCUCCCAAAUGGGCCCUGGUCAAAAGAAGUUCACUACAUAGAGAAUAGGGUGCCAUUCUGGUCGAAAGAAGUGACACUACAUAAGGAAUAGGGUGCCAUUUGGGACCCAUACAUGGACAUACAGGUGUUGGUGUAUGUAUAUUUCAUAUCUAAGAGACAUUUGUAACCCAAGACUCGUCUGGAGCUGCAUUCAACUGGACUUUUUUUCUUCCAUUUUUGUCGGAAUUGAAAAAAAAAAAUGCAAAAAGAGAGGAACCUUAUGUACACUGAGGUCACAGCCCAUCCUUUACCCUGAGGUCACAGCCCAUCCUUUACCCUGAGGUCAUAGCCCAUCCUUUACCCUGAGGUCAUGGUCCAUCCUUUACCCUGAGGUCAUGGUCCAUCCUUUACCCUGAGGUCAUGGUCCAUCCUUUACCCUGAGGUCAUGGUCCAUCCUUUACCCUGAGGUCAUGGUCUAUCCUUUACCCUGAGGUCAUGGCCCAUCCUUUACCCUGAGGUCAUAGCCCAUGUACCCUGAGGUCACUGUCCAUCCUUUACCCUGAGGUCAUUGUCCAUCCUUUACCCAGAGGUCAUUGUCCAUCCUUUACCCAGAGGUCAUUGUCCAUCCUUUACCCAGAGGUCAUUGUCCAUCCUUUACCCAGAGGUCAUUGUCCAUCCUUUACCCAGAGGUCAUCCUUUACCCUGAGGUCAUAGCCCAUCCUUUACCCUGAGGUCAUGGUCCAUCCUUUACCCUGAGGUCAUGGUCCAUCCUUUACCCUGAGGUCAUGGUCCAUCCUUUACCCUGAGGUCAUGGUCCAUCCUUUACCCUGAGGUCAUGGUCCAUCCUUUACCCUGAGGUCAUGGUCCAUCCUUUACCCAGAGGUCAUUGUCCAUCCUUUACCCUGAGGUCAUUGUCCAUCCUUUACCCAGAGGUCAUUGUCCAUCCUUUACCCAGAGGUCAUCCUUUACCCUGAGGUCAUAGCCCAUCCUUUACCCUGAGGUCAUGGUCCAUCCUUUACCAUGAGGUCAUGGUCCAUCCUUUACCAUGAGGUCAUGGUCCAUCCUUUACCCUGAGGUCAUGGUCCAUCCUUUACCCUGAGGUCAUGGCCCAUCCUUUACCCUGAGGUCAUGGCCCAUCCUUUACCCUGAGGUCAUGGUCCAUCCUUUACCCUGAGGUCAUGGUCCAUCCUUUACCCUGAGGUCAUGGUCCAUCCUUUACCCUGAGGUCAUGGUCCAUCCUUUACCCUGAGGUCAUGGUCCAUCCUUUACCCUGAGGUCAUGGCCCAUCCUUUACCCUGAGGUCAUGGUCCAUCCUUUACCCUGGGGUCAUGGUCCAUCCUUUACCCUGGGGUCAUGGUCCAUCCUUUACACUGGGCUCAAUUUGGCCACUUUCCUCUAAAGCAAUGCACUGUGGGACCAGGGUUGGAGUUGGGUUAGAGAGUGAUUGCAUCCCAAAUGGCAUCCGAUUUCCUAUAUAUGGUCAAAAGUAGUGCACUACAGAGCAUAGAGAAUAGGGUGUAAUUUGGGACGCAGCCAGGGUCUUCCACCACCUCUGUUGUUGUUUUGUAAAUCUGUAUUUGGCACUUUAUCAGACGGACCCACCCUGCUGCAUAUCUGCAUAAAAUAUUUAACAAUAAAUAUGUCUGCUAAAUGA